GCAGAAGUGGUGGAAUUGGCAGACACGCAAGACUAAGGAUCUUGUGCCCACUUAUCGGGUGUGCGGGUUCAAGUCCCGCCUUCUGCACCA
rnacentral:tRNA from 1 species